rnacentral:lncRNA from 1 species
CUGAAAUCCUUAGUGUCACUGUGGUCUUUUGCCCCUUCUGUGAAGGAACUCAAAGUCCAUCGUACCGCUGGUUGAACACAUGGUGCUUGAAGAAGUGGGCGCUGCCCUCAGCAGAGAGGGCAGCACAGCUCUGUGCCGGGGCGCUGGGGAAAGAGCCGGUGCCGUGCCUCACAAACCGAGGCAAGCCCACAUGGACACCAGUGAUGCGUUGCGUGGAAAAACCUGGCUCCAGCAACUGAUGCUUCAGAAGUUUGCUGUGUGCUUACCACGGGUUCUGCCAGCCAUCUCAAGAGGGGACCCACCUAUUCUUUCAUUAAUUGAGCAAAACAUUAUCUUG